GCGGGGAAUAUUGGACAAUGGGGGGAACCCUGAUCCAGCCAUGCCGCGUGUGUGAAGAAGGCCUUUUGGUUGUAAAGCACUUUAAGCGAGGAGGAGGCUACCGAGAUUAAUACUCUUGGAUAGUGGACGUUACUCGCAGAAUAAGCACCGGCUAACUCUGUGCCAGCAGCCGCGGUAAUACAGAGGGUGCAAGCGUUAAUCGGAUUUACUGGGCGUAAAGCGCGCGCAGGUGGCCAAUUAAGUCAAAUGUGAAAUCCCCGAGCUUAACUUGGGAAUUGCAUUCGAUACUGGUUGGCUAGAGUAUGGGAGAGGAUGGUAGAAUUCCGGGUGUAGCGGUGAAAUGCGUAGAGAUCUGGAGGAAUACCGAUGGCGAAGGCAGCCAUCUGGCCUAAUACUGACACUGAGGUGCGAAAGCAUGGGGAGCAAACAGGAUUAGAUACCCUGGUAGUCC
rnacentral:rRNA from 1 species